rnacentral:rRNA from 1 species
GAUGAACGCUGGCGGCGUGCUUAACACAUGCAAGUCGAACGGAAAGGCCCAAGCUUGCUUGGGUACUCGAGUGGCGAACGGGUGAGUAACACGUGGGUGAUCUGCCCUGCACUUCGGGAUAAGCCUGGGAAACUGGGUCUAAUACCGGAUAGGACCACUUCUUGGAUGUUGUGGUGGAAAGUUUUUUCGGUGUGGGAUGAGCUCGCGGCCUAUCAGCUUGUUGGUGGGGUAAUGGCCUACCAAGGCGUCGACGGGUAGCCGGCCUGAGAGGGUGUACGGCCACAUUGGGACUGAGAUACGGCCCAGACGCCUACGGGAGGCAGCAGGGGGGAAUAUUGCACAAUGGGCGCAAGCCUGAUGCAGCGACGCCGCGUGGGGGAGGACGGCCUUCGGGUUGGAAACUCCUUUCGCUAGGGACGAAGCGUUUUGUGACGGUACCUGGAGAAGAAGCACCGGCUAACUACGUG